rnacentral:rRNA from 1 species
AUGGAUUUAAAAUUGAUGGAGCAUCAUGAGCAUCAUUGCCCAACUUAUGAGAGACGCUUUAAUUGCCUGAUUCCACCGCCACAAGGCUAUAAGGUCAGCAGACUGUCCUUUCUUUCAUUUUUUUUGCCAUCUCCUCACCUUAAUUUGAUUAUGUCUCUAAGCUACAAAGUUGCUGGAGUUGGGUCACAUCGUAAGGGAAUGAUGAUUUUCAUCUUGGAGCUUGACCGUACCCUCUAUUUUCUUCCAAUAAUCAGCUCGGCUCCGGGCGUUUACCUGCAACCUUUUUUCGUAAGUCAAGAUAGCUCCUGUUGUCUGGUGCUCGUAUGCUGGGAUAGACACUGA